rnacentral:rRNA from 1 species
GUGGAUUAGAUACCCUGGUAGUCCACGCCGUAAACGAUGAGAACUAGCCGUUGGAAACCUUAGAGUUUUUAGUGGCGAAGCUAACGCGAUAAGUUCUCCGCCUGGGGAGUACGGCCGCAAGGUUAAAACUCAAAUGAAUUGACGGGGGCCCGCACAAGCGGUGGAGCAUGUGGUUUAAUUCGACGCAACGCGAAGAACCUUACCUGGUCUUGACAUCCUGCGAACCUUUCAGAGAUGAGAGGGUGCCUUCGGGAGCGCAGAGACAGGUGCUGCACGGCCGUCGCCAACU